AAUGACAAAUAAAUAGGCGCCAGUUUUUCCCUCAUCUUUUUACCCAACCCACAAUCAGCCCAAGCAUUCCCUCAGCUCUCGUCACCACCCUCCUAAUAAAAACGUCUCUCUGCGUUUUAUCAGUCAACAACGAGAUAAUUUGCAAAAGUUGAGCGAUCGGAAGAUCUGCAAAAGCUGGCUUCUUCUCUGCAACCUAGGGUUUUAUUCUCCUUCUUGUUAAUGCGUGUAAAGGCCUUUGUUGUAUAUAUUCAAGUAGAGUGGCACCUGUUCCAAAGAAUGAAGUUUCUCAUUCGAUUGUUGUCCGGAGCAAGUCUUUCGGGAUUUCUGAGGGCAUGUGGGCACGUGUCAAAAGUGAAUAUACAAGGGCAAUCUGGCACAUGUUGUGGCAGUGAAUGAUUCAUGGAAGAAAGUGACGGUGAAGCUGAUUCCAAGAAUAGACUUGCAAGCCAUUGCCGACAAAUUUGUACUCGAUUUCAAAAAUAUUUUAUAUUUUAGUUAAUGUGAAUUACUCUGUGAAUAUCAAGAUAUGAAGCAUAACACCGUACUAGCUGCUUCUCUUCACCUCCCCAUCAUGAAAAAGAAAAAACGAAAUAACAAAACGCUGUGUUAGGGAAGGUGGGAGGGACAGUGCAUGUCAUGAUUUCUGGGUAAUUCUGCUUUGAGUUAUUUUGACCACAAAUUUCUUAAAGUAAUGCACAUAUGCUUGGAGUUGUUAGUCUUGUGUCUUAUUGGAGGUUGUGAUAUGAGUAUUUCCUUUACUACACAACGUAGGUCCUUUUAGUUGUUUGCAUAGUAUUACAAUGUUAGACUAAAGCAUAAUACUUCCUCUUCUCUUUGUUUUGAAUGUUUGAUCCUAUGCCCUAUUGGUACUUCUUCUU